GCAAACCUACCGUCACGGUGAAAAUAAUCAGUUGUGGAGAAUAUUCUGGAGGUACAAAUAUUCUACUUUUGGUUACUGCUACAUACGUAGUGAGUUUGCAGUCAUAACCAAUCCUCAUCAUCGCAUGAUUUGUCAAUGCAGACAAGAAGAAGAAUGUUAUUGAUGAUCGAAAAAGGAGCAAGCACAAGAAAUCUUCAAGAGAGAGAAGAAAGAAGAGGCGGAGACACUCAUCAUCUGAGUCUGAAAGCUACUCAGACUCUGAGACGGAUUCCUCAGAAUCUGAUAGUGAGUCAGAUUCGGAUUCGUCUUCUGACCUUAGCUCCUCGAGCCAUGAAAGGGGGAAGAAGAGAAAGAGAAGUUCGAAGAAAGAUAAGCACAGGCGGUCCAAGCGAAGAGAUAAGCGCCAUGAGAAGAAGCGGAGGAUUCGUGAUAAGAGAUCGAAACGCAAAUCAAGAAGGUUUGCACGUCUUGUACACUUAUUAGGAGAACUAAAUCACUAAAAUUCUAUUUGCCGUACUUAUUACUUAUUAGGAGAAUAUUAGUGAUUUAAUUGGUCUUCACAGUUAACCGGUUUUAACUUGUGGUCGGUGAACGACGGACGGAGCAAAAAAAAAAUAGAGUUUUGAGGGUAAAGUUGUAAAUUACGAGCGAGAUUGAGGGCAAUUCGGACAAGCUGGUGUUUGUUCUUUUUAAAGUGUCCGCUAGGUUUUUUUCCUCCAGCUCUCAGUCAUUCUGGCUCGGCGGUUUUCUCAGGUAAAACCCUAGCGAUUCUUUUGUCCUCUGCUCGCCGAUUUGCAGUGGAAUUUUGAUGUUUGAAGAACUUGAUUCUCUGAUAUAUGCGAUGAUUUGCACAAUUCUCCACUGAUACGAUCAGUUUAGUUUAUUUGUUGGCAUAAACUCUUGUGGGAAUCUUUUUGUCCGUGUUAGUUUUGAGUAGUUGUGAGCAUGGUUUUGUGUAGAAAUGACAUUGUUAAUUGAUGUGUCUAGAAGUUUUCUAAAUUUUUGGUCAUUUGUCACUGACUGUAGUGGGUUUAUUUCAGGACUAUUUGAUAUUCAAGUCUCUUUUGUGUUCUAUGUGUGUUUUACAGGUCUGAACUUUGGAUCGCUUGAGCUAUAUAUUAAAAAGGGCAUGGCGAAAAAGAAGAAUCCGCAGGUUUAUAUGGAUGUUUGCAUUGAUGGAGAUCCAGCUGAGACUAUGGUUUUUGAGGUACCAUGCUGUUUUGGUUCUCUUGCUUGUAUUUUUUUUUCUGGACAAAGCUAAAAUGUUGAACAUUUGAACUUUGUUUCUUUAGCUUUUCCCUGAUGUUGCUCCCAAGACGUCAGAGAAUUUCCGUGCGCUGUGCACAGGUUUGUUUCCUGUGUGGCUAAGCCUGUUACUUCGUUGUUGCUGUAUAUAAAUUUAAUUGUUUGACAUUUAUCUUUCCUUGUAAAAUCUAUUAUACAGGGGAGAAAGGAAUCGGACCCAGAAGUGGAAAACCUUUACAUUACAAAGGAUCUUUUUUCCACAGGAUUCUGAAAGGCUCCUCAGCACAGGUUACUUUCUGCAUCUUUCAACUAUAAAUUUAUCUAUAUGAUGUUGCAGUCUUGCUCUCUGGUUUCUUUUUCAACAUUGUUUGGAUAUUUGCUUUUUUAGUUCGCUCUUGUUCUUUAUGUUGUAGGACUACAGGUCUGAUAGCCACACCUGCUUUUCAUGUCAUAUAGUUUUAAGGUUGCACUGCUAGUUGUUCCUGCUCAAACUUAGGUCUUCUCAUGCAAAGAAUACACUUUAUGUACGAACAAAUUCAUGGUUUAUGCUGGUCUAACAACCUUUGUUGGCUAUUUUUUCAGGCUGGCGACUUUGUGAACCGAGAUGGUAUGUACAUUUUCACUAAGUUUGGCUUUUGACCUGCAUUUUUCAAGUAGAGAUAUCAGUUAUUUAUUAAUACCUGUCGUUUCUGAUCUUAUAUCAGUGGCACACAGUUUUGGGGAUUAUUAUUUAGUGUGAUUAAGAAAGUAAAUCUCAUUUGUGUAAUCAACAUUUUUCUGAUAAUAACUUUAAAAGUGUGAUAGCCUACUGGGUGGAACUGCAUUCAUUAGAUUCCUGUGGAGGUUUAAGAAAGCAUACAGUUGGUUUAUGCAGUCAACAUUAGUAAAUUCUUAUAUCCUCUGAACAACUUUGUAUAUUCAUCCACUUUCCAGGUACUGGUGGGGAAAGCAUAUAUGCUGGAAAAUUUGCAGGUCGGUUUACCAUUGCGUUUUUUUCAUCAGCUAUCUCUUUUCGUUUACCCCAGCAACAUAUGAGAAGUCAAUUGUGUGUGUGUGAUACUGAUAUCUCUUUUCUUUGUCAUUCAUUGCUUAAACUUGUAUCAACAAGUAGACGUUCAUUUUGAAGGAAUUGCUUUACUGAAUAUUUGGUGCUUGUCGUCAUAUUGCUAGAUGAUAUGUUUUUCUUAUUCUUUGAAAUAUGUUGUUGAAUUGUAAUACCAAUUUCUGAUGUUAUCAGAUGAGUCACCAAAACUAAGGCAUGACGAGCGUGGUCUUUUAUCCAUGGAUGUUGCUGAACGUGACAAGUUGGGAUCACACUUUCAUAUUACCUUCAGGCCAAAUCACCAACUUGAUAGGUCUACUUAACGUCACCUUCCUUUCUUUUUUAAAUAUCUAAUCUAUCAUUUCAAUAAUUGUUGAUUUUUUCCUUUAGCAUUUCGUUAUUUCUGACUGUUAUAUUUCUCAUCAGGAAGAAUGUUGUUUUUGGAAAGCUUAUUCAAGGGAAAGAGGUACUAAAGAAAAUUGAACGUGUGGGAGACGAGGAAGGCAAACCUACCGUCACGGUGAAAAUAAUCAGUUGUGGAGAAUAUUCUGGAGGUACAAAUAUUCUACUUUUGGUUACUGCUACAUACGUAGUGAGUUUGCAGUCAUAACCAAUCCUCAUCAUCGCAUGAUUUGUCAAUGCAGACAAGAAGAAGAAUGUUAUUGAUGAUCGAAAAAGGAGCAAGCACAAGAAAUCUUCAAGAGAGAGAAGAAAGAAGAGGCGGAGACACUCAUCAUCUGAGUCUGAAAGCUACUCAGACUCUGAGACGGAUUCCUCAGAAUCUGAUAGUGAGUCAGAUUCGGAUUCGUCUUCUGACCUUAGCUCCUCGAGCCAUGAAAGGGGGAAGAAGAGAAAGAGAAGUUCGAAGAAAGAUAAGCACAGGCGGUCCAAGCGAAGAGAUAAGCGCCAUGAGAAGAAGCGGAGGAUUCGUGAUAAGAG
rnacentral:lncRNA from 1 species